rnacentral:rRNA from 1 species
ACGGCUCAGUAACACGUGGAUAACAUGCCCUAAGGUGGGGGAUAAUCUCGGGAAACUGAGGAUAAUACCCCAUAGAUCUAGGAUGCUGGAAUGCUUCUAGGUCCAAAACUCCGGUGCCUUAGGAUUGGUCUGCGGUCUAUCAGGCAGUAGUGGGUGUAAUGGACCCACUAGCCCGUGACGGAUAUGGGCCUUGAGAGAGGGUGCCCAGAGAUGGACUCUGAGACAUGAGUCCAGGCCCUACGGGGCGCAGCAGUCGCGAAAACUUCGCAAUGGGGGAAACCCCGACGAGGGAAUUCCAAGUGCUAGCACUUUGUGUUAGCUGUUCUUCUGUCUAAAAAACAGGAGAAGUAAGGGGCGGGUAAGACGGGUGCCAGCCGCCGCGGUAAUACCCGCGCCCCGAGUGGUGGUCGAUAUUAUUGAGCCUAAAACGUCCGUAGCCGGUCUUCUAAAUCCUUGGGUAAAUCGGGCAGCUUAACUGUCCGAAUUCCGGGGAGACUGGGAGACUUGGGACCGGGAGAGGUCAGAGGUACUUCUGGGGUAGGGGUAAAAUCCUGUAAUCCUGGAAGGACCACCGGUGGCGAAGGCGUCUGACUAGAACGGAUCCGACGGUGAGGGACGAAGCCCUGGGGCGCAAACGGGAUUAGAUACCCCGGUAGUCCAGGGUGUAAACGCUGCGGGCUUGGUGUUGGGGGUCCUUAGUGGGCGCCCAGUGCCGGAGAGAAGUUGUUAAGCCUGCUGCUUGGGGAGUAUGUCCGCAAGGAUGAAACUUAAAGGAAUUGGCGGGGGAGCAC